CCACGCUUCCUCUCCUUCUCCCUCUCCCUCUCCCUCGCCUCCUUCUCCUCCAUCGUUUGAAGCUCACCACCUGCCGGUGGUGGAGCUAUUAAUAACCUAAAAUAAAUGAUUAAAUACCAGCAAUAUGGACAUCAGAUGAAACCCCACUACCCCCUCCUUUUGUUCUUUGCCGCCACCCCUCCCUUUCUUCCCAAUUUUCUCUAUUCAUAAUAAUCUUCCUAAAUUAGCUUACAUACAGAGAAAAAAUGGAAAUGAGAUUAAUUUAUCACUGGAUUAUUUUAUCACUGCUUCCACUUGUUUUUCUGUAAUUAAGAAUGUCAUUGAUAGUUUUAGAGGUAAUAAUUUGUUAGGAUAACAUUUUGUCAUUAUGGGUGUAUUGAUGGUGAUGGAUUGAAGGGUUGUCAUCAUUUGGGAAGAGAAGGAUCUGAAAGUGGUGGAAUAUGGUGAAGUAAAAAAGUGGGGUUUCGAAAGGGGUUAUUGUUGGGGGAAGGUGCGAGUUGUGGGUUUGGUUGCUGAUGAUGAAGAAAUGCAACGAUGGAAGAGUGUACAGAGGCGGAGCCGUGUAAAUGGCAAUGUGAUUCGACGCAUGUUUCCAAAAAAUGAAGAAUGAGGCUUGACAGAACUAUCAAAGUCGCGAUGAUGAUGAUUCUGUUCAUGGUGUGCAUCGAAUGUCCACACGAGGACUAAUGCGACCGUUACUACUGAUAGGAAAACAAGUCCUCCCCAUGUCAUACGCACGUUUUUCUUUAAUGGUUCGCAAUGUUUUUCAAGGAUAUCGGAGAACGAAUCAUACAAUGUGUUACAUUCUGCUAGACUUUCCAUUCCGGGGUAUACAUUCAGUAUCUUUUUAAGAGCAGUUGUGUAUGCCUCGAUGUUAUUGAAGUCUCUACGAGAGAUCAAGACUCCACCUUUGCAGUUUGUAUCAGUGCAAGCCAAUAUCUUGAUUAUCUUCAUAUAAGAAGAGAAAAUUCUGUCAAAUCAAAGGUAAAGAAAAAACUAAGAACACUAACUAUGGGAAAAGAAAAUGGUAAAUCAUAGGCCUUUGAGCUAUACCUGAGGGAGGUCUCCUAUCCUGAUUGCGCUAGAUGGACAGUUCUGAUCAGGCUCGUAGUUAUACUCUGGUGGACCAGAGAAUGGAUUGCAUAUCUGUGCAACAUUUGCAUAAUGUGUAGAUAGCUCUUGAUUUACCUGCAAAUUUGCAUGUUUUGUAUACUCGUAAAGAAAACUUCAUUGUUCAAUAUCUUUCAUGAGUUGCAAAACCGAAAAGCUACUCAAAGCAAGAUGGAAGAACUUGUACAUAUGUUGGUAACUUUUUCUUGUAUUGGUUUGAUUGAUAGCCUAAUUCCAAAUUUGGUCCAUGUUCUUUCAAACUUAAAAUAUUUAGCCUCUAAAUAAUUAAAGAAUUGAGUAAACUUAAGUGUUUUUGCUAGCUGAAUCACCAAAAUGAAGAAGACAUUCUAUAACUUUACAGGCUUUUGAUGCUUUCUUGGAUUUAUUCAUCACUGUCUUUAUCAUUCUUCUACAGACCAUCCCUUACAACCUGAAAAUUUGUUCUUAUCCUAGUAACACCCUCUACAAUUCCAUGGUCACUUGUGAAAUAUAAUUAUUACUUCUUUUGCUGUGGUAUCAUUGGAUAAAGUCAAAGGGAAACAACAAAAGGAAAAAAAAAAAUCAAGAUUACCGUGUUCACUACUCGAUGAAUCCCUUCACUGACUUCAUAUAGGAUUGAUUCUGCAGAGAGUAAUUCAUCACAGGGAAGGAUUGAACUCAAGCUGUUGUUGUAGGGAUUUAUCUGGAAACUUUCUAGAGCAGUGCAUGUGUCUCCAGCAAAGCUGCAAUAAACAGAUGCAAUUUGAUCGGAUCACAAUGAGCGCAAACUUGCUGACUUACUUAUUUCAAUUAUCAUGAAAUUGCAUGGCCUGGAAAGCACAGCCGGAUCUACGACAGGAGGAAGACUUACAAUGUCUCGAGGCCUUUCUCAAUUAAAUGCUUAUUCUUCAUGGCUUCCCUAUGUAUAUCAGCAGCCUGUCUGUCAAGACUAUUAGAGGUGGGAAUGAGGAAAUUAGCAGCCUCAUCACCUAUA